UACGUAAGGGGCGAGCGUUGUCCGGAAUUAUUGGGCGUAAAGAGUGCGUAGGCGGCAAAUUAAGUCAGAUGUGAAAACUAAGGGCUCAACCCAUAGAUUGCAUCUGAAACUGAUAUGCUUGAGUCAAGGAGAGGAAAGUGGAAUUCCUAGUGUAGCGGUGGAAUGCGUAGAUAUUAGGAGGAAUACCGGUGGCGAAGGCGACUUUCUGGACUUGAACUGACGCUGAGGCACGAAAGCGUGGGGAGCAAACAGGAUUAGAUACCCCGGUAGUCC
rnacentral:rRNA from 1 species